UACAGAGGGGGCAAGCGUUGUUCGGAAUUACUGGGCGUAAAGGGCGCGUAGGUGGCCUUCUAAGUCGAACGUGAAAUCCCUGGGCUCAACCCAGGAACUGCGUCCGAUACUGGAAGGCUUGAAUCCGGGAGAGGGAUGCGGAAUUCCAGGUGUAGCGGUGAAAUGCGUAGAUAUGCGGAGGAACACCGAUGGCGAAGGCAAUCCCCUGGGCCUGCACUGACGCUCAUGCACGAAAGCGUGGGGAGCAAACAGG
rnacentral:rRNA from 1 species